rnacentral:rRNA from 1 species
CUAUGGAAGCUUGCUUCCGCUGAGAAGAUAGUGGCGAACGGGUGAGUAACACGUGGGUAACCUGCCCAUAAGAGGGGGAUAACAUCCGGAAACGGGUGCUAAUACCGCAUAGUUUUCUUGAUCGCAUGAUUGAGAAAGGAAAGACGGCCUUUGUGCUGUCGCUUAUGGAUGGACCCGCGGCGUAUUAGUUAGUUGGUGAGGUAACGGCUCACCAAGACGAUGAUACGUAGCCGACCUGAGAGGGUGAUCGGCCACAUUGGGACUGAGACACGGCCCAAACUCCUACGGGAGGCAGCAGUAGGGAAUCUUCCGCAAUGGACGAAAGUCUGACGGAGCAACGCCGCGUGAGUGAAGAAGGUUUUCGGAUCGUAAAACUCUGUUGUCAGAGAAGAACAAGUCGGAGAGUAACUGCUCCGGCCUUGACGGUAUCUGACCAGAAAGCCACGGCUAACUACGUGCCAGCAGCCGCGGUAAUACGUAGGUGGCAAGCGUUGUCCGGAUUUAUUGGGCGUAAAGCGAGCGCAGGCGGUUCCUUAAGUCUGAUGUGAAAGCCCACGGCUCAACCGUGGAAGGUCAUUGGAAACUGGGGAACUUGAGUGCAGAAGAGGAGAGUGGAAUUCCAUGUGUAGCGGUGAAAUGCGUAGAUAUAUGGAGGAACACCAGUGGCGAAGGCGACUCUCUGGUCUGUAACUGACGCUGAGGCUCGAAAGCGUGGGGAGCAAACAGGAUUAGAUACCCUGGUAGUCCACGCCGUAAACGAUGAGUGCUAAGUGUUGGAGGGUUUCCACCCUUCAGUGCUGCAGCUAACGCAUUAAGCACU